AUAUUAUAAUAAUAUUUGUGACACCAUACAAUACAUGUGGUCCAAAAACCCCAUAUACGGUAGCCGAUAUCCUCGGGUAAUACUACAGGGAGAUGCGGACAAACCUGAGCGCCCAAAAUCGAUUAUAAUCAUUAGUGUCCCGAACUCUGACCUCAACCGGGUUCAAUGAACUGCUUUAAAUCGCAUAAGGCGGGUCGCGGGUGAAACCAUCACGAUUGAAAUAUUACUACAGGUUAUAUUGUAAUCAUACAUAGUGUAGUCGCUGUGUUAUCAUAAUAGUGUACAGUACCACACUGUAUCGUAAUAAUAUAUUGUGCCUUUUUGGUUUA